GCCCUGGUGGUGAAAUUGGUAGACACGCCAUCUUGAGGGGGUGGUGCCGAAAGGCAUAGCGGUUCGAGUCCGCUCCAGGGCACC
rnacentral:tRNA from 1 species